AAAAGCGGUGGCAAUUCCGUAAAUUUUGGGUGCCAAAUUUAGAUCAUAUAAAGCCAAUUUUAGACAAAUUUUACUCAUUUUUCACUUUCUGUCUCUCUCUCUAAACUUUCUCCUCCAAUUCUCUCUCGCUUCUCUCUAACAUCUCUCCUCUCCUCCUCCUCUCCUCCACCUUCUUCUCCUCUGUGCCGCCUCUUUUCCGUUGCCGGCAACAGUGCCGCCGCCUCUUCUGUCGCCGCCGUGCCUCCCUUCUUUUUUUUUCUUCUUUUCUUCUCUUCUUAUUUUCUUCUCUUCUUCUUUCUCUCUUCUUCACCCCCUUUCUGCCCCGAUUUCGACGUCCAGAGCGACGGCGGUCCCGACGCCGCUGCUGCCUCUCCCUCAACCGCGACAAAAAGGUAAACAGAAACGUAGAUCUACUUCCCUUACUUUUAUCCUUUCUAUUUCAGCCGGAUUUGGACUUGCAUGUCGUCGAAGGAUGCCUUUAGCGAGUACUCCAACGACAUGCAAACCCCGAUCUACAAUUUUAAUGUUUGAAUUUUGUUUUUAUUGUCCUUUUUUGACUUACUGUUUUGUUUUUGUGUUUUUUCUUUCUUAUAAGGGGCUGGAAAUCGGUGGCGAGGAAAGGGGAGACGGUGUCCUGACUCACCGGAGGAAAUCGAUAAAAAGUGCGACUAAGAGAGGAGACAAUCUUUAGGAAGGUAAACCACCUAAACUCUAAUUAUUCUGAUUUUGUUCGGUAGAUAGUAGUGACUUUGCCCUUGGUUGAUUAGGUUGCGUAUAAUAUGAAAAUUUGACUGUCUUGCUUAUUAAGACUAAAUUCGUAAUCUAAGUGAAAAUGAUUUUCCGCUUGAAAAACUGAUUAUUUUGUCACGUUUGUGAAAAUUUCAACAAUCACACUUAACAAAAAGACUUGUUUUACCUCUAUUUUUAUUAGUAGCAUUGUAGUUCUUGAGUUUUCGGUGUAAACUGUAUGAAAAUGGUAAUAAGAGGUUGCUUAAUCCAAUGUUAAUCUGUUUUUCCAGCAGCCUUUCUUGAACGAAAAAGUUUCAUUUUACUUUUGAAUUCAUUGUUUGCAAAAAUUGGCUAUUUAAUCGUUUAGCAGUUGUGAAUAUAAAGUUAGGAGCAGUUUAAGUGGUAACAGAACAGUUAAUAUAGCAUACAAACCUAGAAAGUAUAUUGAGAAGUGUUGAAACAGAAUACGAAUGAUAUGUGAAUCGCUGAGAAUUAUGAAAAGGCUUGUUUGGGAGGUACUGAGCUUUGAAAACUGAUUUAUGUUUCUCUUUUGCAGUGUGUUUGAGCCAUUGGCCACUUGCUUCGGGAAUUUGGGAAUUCAAAAGCUUUGAGUCCUCGAAGUUUCGGCCAAAAGCACUUUGUAUUUGUUGAUUUUUUUCUUUUUUUCCUUUGUAGUGAGGUUUGGUGUGAUGGGUUGCGGUGUAAUGGUAUUAGGGUGUUUUCUUGUUAUAACCGGUAGGUCCUUCUUCGUUCCUCCCCUCUCUCUCGAAAGAAAUUCGAUGAUCCUUUUAAAUGAACAAAAGGGCUACCACCUCCCUUAUCUUCCAAUCUAAAUUGAACACCAAUCACUAAGGUGGCAGCCUCUCAGAGAAUAACAGAAAUCGGUCAUGAGAUCGGGUCCAAAAAAAUCCAUGUAAAAUAGAGCUACGAAAUAAAUAAAUAAAUAAACUCGAGGAUCCGGACAAAAUUUGGUUACUACACUCAACUUUGUUCUUUUGUCUUCUUGGAGCUGGUGGGAGAGCAGUCGUUCAAAUCUGACUGUGGGAACGUUCCCUUUUAAAACUCCUGAUCCUUGAAAACCUUUUCUUAAUACUCUUUUGCAAGUACUGACUCAUCACAUAAUGACUCAACCUAGACGCUCACCUACUGCCCCAUGGAAGUCUAGU
rnacentral:lncRNA from 1 species